rnacentral:rRNA from 1 species
GACGAACGCUGGCGGCGUGCUUAACACAUGCAAGUCGAACGGAAAGGCCCUGCUUUUGUGGGGUGCUCGAGUGGCGAACGGGUGAGUAACACGUGAGUAACCUGCCCUUGACUUUGGGAUAACUUCAGGAAACUGGGGCUAAUACCGGAUAGGAGCUCCUGCUGCAUGGUGGGGGUUGGAAAGUUUCGGCGGUUGGGGAUGGACUCGCGGCUUAUCAGCUUGUUGGUGGGGUAGUGGCUUACCAAGGCUUUGACGGGUAGCCGGCCUGAGAGGGUGACCGGCCACAUUGGGACUGAGCUACGGACCAGACUCCUACGGGAGGCAGCAGUGGGGAAUAUUGCACAAUGGGCGGAAGCCUGAUGCAGCAACGCCGCGUGCGGGAUGACGGCCUUCGGGUUGUAAACCGCUUUCGCCUGUGACGAAGCGUGAGUGACGGUAAUGGGUAAAGAAGCACCGGCUAACUACGUG